GGGUGCGGUAAGAGCGCACCGCGCGACUAGUAAUAGUUCGUGGCACGGUAAACUCCACACCGGAGCAAGUCCAAAUAGGGUUCCUAUUUCCUUUGAGAAAAACGUAUGGCCCAUACGGGAACCGGGUAGGAUGCUUGAGCCUUAGAGCAAUUUAAGGCCUAGACGAAUGAUUGUCCUCGACAAAACCCGGCUUAUCGGCUGUCUCGCCAC
rnacentral:RNase_P_RNA from 1 species